GAUGUGUCUUAUAACUUGAGAGCAGGUGUCUUUGCUCCAAAUCUGUCCCAUUUCCACUUGAAAUUGGAAUUUUUUUUUGUCAUCAUUUGUCUUUAAUGCCCGUCAUUUAGAGAUGAUGUCAUUUUUGAUCUCUAAUUUGGAGUAAACCUACAUUUGAAGACAAUCUGAGGCUUAUUAUUGGUAUAUCUUCGAGCCAUGAUCUUGUCCUUUAAAAAUUUUUAGACUUUCUUGACUCUCAAUUUUGUAGCCGAGGGUUACCUCUUAAUGUGCUUGGGCUUAGUAAUCGUGGUCUUGACUCUUGGAGUGACCACUUCUUGCUAUCUUACAAGGCCAGGACUACCACAGUUCGGACCUUCUGACCAUCAACAGUACAGGUUGCGUUGAGCAUGGCUUCUUGGCACCUUUUUCUGUUCUUCUUGCCCAUCUUCAAGUGCAUGAUCCUCUAAAUAGGUUAGCUCUACUUUGUUUAGAUGGCCUCUUCUUGGCACCUUUUUCUGUUCUUCUUGCCCAUCUUCAAGUGCAUGAUCCUCUAAAUAGUCUCUGCAGAUGGUGAGAAAUUCGUAGCCCAAGCCAACUAGUCCGUGUGUAUGUUUAUUGUGUGAGUAGAGAAGAAAGCACAAAGCACCACGCAAGUGAAAAGAAAAAGAGAGUGAAAGGUAAAAGAAAAUUGUGAAGGUUCUAAAGUUGCUGGGCGAUGUCGCUUAUCUAAUUUCAUCAGCAUCAGCAGCCAACCAGAUUAAGCCAAGGGAGAUGCAUCUCGGUUAUUGAACUCUUGAGUUCUUUCACAAGAUCGCGUAUUCAGCUGCCGCUCUAUGACCUAUGCACUAGAAUGUGUGAGACUUUCUAGUGCAAACUGGUCCUAACCCAAAGUAUGAUCCCGACUAACUUCGUUUUAGAGAAAAUGCCACAAAAGGUGCUUGACUACUAAUGGAAUGAUAAAAACAUGCUCAUCUACAAAAAGGAAAAGAAAAGAAAAAAACUGACUCUAUCUUUUGGCUUAGAUGGUUGGAGUGGAGAUUAGAAGGUCAGCCAGUUUUGGUCAUCAGCUUUCACUGAUUUGGGAGCAAUUUCCUAGAUUCCAUAUCAUUUAGCAAACCCCAUAAUUGGAUGUGCUUAGGAUGUUUCCUCUUGUCUGAUUUGCAGCUCCUUGUGUAAAUGUGUGAGCUGCUGUGUUUUGUCUGUGUAUAUAUUGUUCU